GCUUGACUCUGGCUGGGCUGUCCGGACUUGCGAGCUUCGCCGGUUAGUUGCAGCUCCGAGGUCGGUAGUUGGUGCUAUCUAUGUAGGGAAGGGGGGGUAACCCGGCAGGCCAGUGAAAAUGAUCCUCUGCCCCCAGAGCACGGAGCAUCCCCGGGGAAAACAGUGCCAGAGGCUGCAGGUGGCGAAGAUGAGUACCAGUGACAAGGAGCGAACUCCCCAGUUGCUCUUUGUGAAAGCCUUGGCCAGCAGGGGGCGCCUUGAGGCCAUCACACAGCAGAUGGGCUACCACCCGCAGUAUCUGGACAGUUUCCUCCGGAUGCAACAUUAUCUGCUGCACAUGGAUGGCCCCUUGCCCUUUGACUGCCGCCACUACAUUGCAAUCAUGGCAGCUGCCCGGCACCGGUGUCGGUAUCUGGUGAAUCUACAUGUGCUGCAGUUCCUGCGGGUUGGCGGUGACCCUCAGUGGCUGAGGGGGCUGGAUUGCAUCCCCCCCAAACUCCGCAAGCUCAGCGAGAUUAACAAGAUCUUGGCACACCGGCCGUGGCUUGUAGGCAAGGAGCACAUAGAGAAGCUGCUGAAGAUCAGCGAACAGAGCUGGUCCCUGGCAGAGCUAGUCCACGCAGUCGUGCUUCUCGCUCACUACCACGCACUGGCCAGCUUCGCUUUUGGCUGUGGCUGUGAACAGGACAUGUGUCCAGAGGGAAGGGGCUUGUUGAAGCUCACCGUCCCAGGGAGCCUCUGCUUCUGCGAAGUGGGCAACGGCUACAGCCAGGAUCUGCUGCAUCUCAACCGCAAGCGGUCGCUGGAUUCAUGUGUGGAGCUGGAGUCUCUAAGAGAGCGCAUUCACAGGCUGCAGGUGGAGAGUGAGACCCAGGAAGAGAUGAGGCUGCCUGAGAGGGAAGAAGGUUUGGAUGGAGAAAUUUUGGGCCCUGCAGAUCUCUCCUGCUACGUUCAGGACCCCAGCUUUGGAUACCAGGACUUUGCUCAGCGUGACGAGAACCAGACCCAGAUAUUCCGUGUCCAGGAUUACUCCUGGGAAGAUCAUGGCUUCUCUCUGGUGAACAGGCUGUACUCGGACAUUGGGUAUCUGCUAGAUGAGAAGUUCCGGAAGGUCGAUGGCCUCCAGAGCUGUGCAAUGGCCAAGCGGCAGGGCUGUGAUCAUGCCACAUUCAAGCGUGGGAUUUGGAACUAUAUCCACUGCAUGUUUGGCAUCAGGUAUGAUGAUUAUGACUACACAGAAGUGAAUCAUCUCCUGGAGCGCAUUCUCAAGCUCUACAUAAAAACUGUGACCUGCUCCCCAGAGAAGAUGAAUCCUGAGAUGUUUGAACGCUUCUGGAAACAGUUCAAGCACAGUGAAAAGGUAAAGUUCAAUUCAGGAGUGCUGCAGUUACUACAAGCAAAUGGGAACUAAGGAGGGAAUCAGCUGUAAAUCAAAGGAGCAAAAUUUCAUCCGCAGUUACCUUGGCUGCAAAGAGAAAAGCAGUCCAUAUGAACCUUCUCAUCCUGGAGGCCAGGCUUCAAGCUGAAUUGCUGUAUGCUCUUCGUGCGAUCACUCACUACAUGGUCUCCUAGAAGGGGUGCUGGUGGGACCCCUUUGGGGCUGAGGACUCAUGCACCAUGGCAUUCACCCACCAUGUUUACUUGACAGCAUUCCCUUCCCUUGUGGGGUGUGAGGAGAGAGAAACUCCCCUCCAUUUUCAUGUGCAAUUUCCAAACUGGGACUCUGGGGAAAGAUAACUCUCAAAGGUUGUGUGUGCAAGACAUUUGUGUCCAGUUUGGCAAUGUGGGAAGUUGGGCUCCCCUCCCUUCUGUCCAUCCCUAUGGGCAGCUUGGUCUGCCGAAGAGAGUGGCUGGCCACAAUUUGACCCCCCCCCCCUUUCUCUGCACAGGGCAAAGUAGCCAGAGCCACCUCUUCCAUCCUUGAUCCAGCUGCAGGAGCUCUGUCUGCUAAAACAUCCAUUACAGUAUUAGGUGGGCCUGUCCCUGCCUCCUCAUGCCAUUCUUGUCCCUUCUUAUUGUGCCAACUUAACCCACAUUGGGAAUGGCUCAGCUUGCUCUUGGGCACUCUCAUGUUGGGUAAGGUGGGAGGAAAAGGUGGUGUGACUUAUGGCUUCUUGGAAAGGUUCUGGUCAGCCUUCUUCUUGGUCUUUAUUUUGGUCUAAAAGAGGGUAUGUAUAUGUAUGUGUGGAGGAAGUAUGUAGAACUCUUUGCUUGCAGGAGCUCCUGCCUGUCACUCUGCAGUUCUCUCCCUGGUUAGAGCCUUCCCACUUGUCCUCCUCACUAGCUGUUUUCUCUGGCCAAAGUCCCCUGCCUGCUCAGCACACAGCCCUUUAACCCCUACACACCCCAUUUGUGUUUGAGCUGUAGUUGGAGGGAGCAGCUUCAGGCCCCAUUCUACCCUGAUAUCAACACAGCUCCCUAUCUGACAUUUUCUCUGUGGCUUCUCCAUACUUCCAGUAGCCAGCAAAGGGAAAGGGGGGUGUCCAAGGGUUUGAAUAUGUGCCCCCAGUGACUUUUUUCUUCUUCCAAGGGUCUGUUGUGAUAACAUAAGCUACUUCUGUGAUGGCUUCUUGUAAUCUGUGCUCUCGCUAGGAACUCUCUGCCAGCAGAGAAUUGGGGGGGGGGGGGGGGAGACUGGUGCUCUAUUUUUAAUGCUGGCAUGUGCCACUCUGCAAGUCCAAGAGAAUACUCCCCUGGCCGGCAUGCUGCAGCGGUGACCCUUUUUGUGGGUAAUUGUGCAUGCACAUAGCCUGGAUCACAGCACAGAAGCUGCAUCUCUAGGAAGGCUUGGGUUGGGGUGGGAGUUGUAGGGGCCUGGCAGAGGGAUGCCAGAGGGUCACUGCAAAGCGGGGAGUGGGCUUGUCACACAGGGCAUCAGCUAACCUGUUUACUGUGUAAAUGUUUUUUGGGGCGGGUGGGGGUCGGAACACCGUAUGGGGAAGAAAGUCAAAGCCUAUUUUUGCUAUAAAUAUAACUGUUUGACACGGAA